AAAGCUUUGGAAAGGCAAAGAUUUCCUUGUAUUGUCCCAGUCCUUUUAGAGGAACUUGAAGAAACUGAUGAAGGACAAGCAUGAAUUCCAAAGGAACUGAAUUUCCUCUUUUGCUCAUUAAAAAGAAGUUGAAAUCCCA